CAGAAAAAAAAAAAAAGGAAAAACAGAAAACGAACCAGUUUUUACUCGACUGUUGUUGGCUACAGUCGUUGAGCCUUCUCAUCGCAGAAAACAAAAACGAGAUUUUCAAAUCGGGUAAUGAAUACAGCAGAUGGAGACCCAUCAACUGAAAAAAACCUAAUUUCGACGAAAAUCAUCCUCUGAUUCAAUCCUGGCCGAGGAUAAUGUCGUGGUUAUUAUUUGAACUUGAUUGUAUGCUUUCCAACUAAUUAAUUUAAAACUUGUGGAAGAAUUGAAAUAAUUCAGCAACAGUAGUUGGCAAUAUGUUGAGACCUAGACUGUCAUUUUUUGGUAUUGGGGGAUCAAACAAUGUUAAUAAUUCAUCGGAUGGUCUGAAAAGUGAACUUGCACCAACAAUCAAACUGCAAACAGAAAAAGAUGUAUAUAGGCCAGGUGAUUCCAUUUUUGUUACUAUUGAGAUAUCCAACCCCAGUAAUGGUGCCUUGGAAAGCAGUCCAUGUUCACUCUUAAUUGAAAAGCUUGGGUUUGAGAUUAAAGGUAUUGAGAAGUUGGAUCCUCAGUGGUUUGCUACACAGAAGCCGUUGCCCGGAUCUAGACAGCGGCGAGGUGAACACGUUUUCUUGGACUGCUCAACAUCAUCAAUGGUUUCUAAUCAGAUUCUGUCUUCUGGUGCCACAAAAACAUAUGUGGUGCGAACUGUUUUGCCUAGCAUUAUACCACCAUCUUAUCGUGGUGCUACCAUUCGGUAUAUUUACUAUGUUAAGAGUACAUUAUCUGGACGACGGUUGAUAUUGGAAAAUGGCCACUCUCACAUGGAGUCAUCAAAAGAUCUCAUUGAACUGGAAGCUCGUGUUCCAUUGCAAAUAUGGGUGACUCAGCAGAGCAAUGGCCUUCUAAUGGAAGAUCAGAUUGAUGGGAUUGUUCCUGCUACAACCCUCCUACUGGAUUUAUACUGGAAACCAAUGGAUGGUGAUUCUGAAUGGGCUAGAGCAAACGACGACAAUGGACUCGAGGAAGGUUAUGACAGUUCCAGAGAUGAAAUCUCAUCUGUUUCUUCCUACAAUCCUGCUAAAGAAAGCAUACACAAGACCUUUGGAAGUUCUUUGUCCUUGCAUUCAUUUACAGCUAGGUCUUCAAAUGCUUCACAUAUUGAAGGAGGACGUACAAGUUUAUCAACUCUGGCACCUCCUCGGCUAUCUGUGGCUGAGGUCUUAUAUGCUUCUGGUGCAGAUAUUUCAUCACCUGACAAGUCAGCAUCCAUUGUAUCUUCAAGCCAGCAGCAGAAGAUUGUUAAACCUCAUUCUGAAGAUGAUAUUGUUGCGGAAUCCUCUCCAGGUGGUGUAGGAGUCAGUGAACCAGCAACAUCAGAAGGCUUUCUUCGAGGGAAGUCUUACAACAUCAGGAUGGAUAAUCAAGUUCUGCUGAGAUUUUCCCCAAAGAAUUCUGACUCAACUUAUUAUUUCAGUGACAUGAUUGGUGGAACUCUUACUUUUUUUCAUGAAGAAGGAUCGAGGAGAUGCCUUGAGGUCUCAAUAACUUUGGAAACUUCAGAGACCGUAAGUAGGCGUUUUGUUCAUCCUUCUCGCAAGAAUUCCCCAACAAUCACAAAGGUUCAGAGUGAUCAUCAUGAGGUUGUUGCAGAUUUAGUACAGACCGGCUUUCUUUUUUCUGUGCCCAUGGAUGGGCCCAUGUCCUUUUCUACUCCACAUGUCUCUGUGCAAUGGGUUCUAAGAUUUGAAUUCUUUACCACUCCAAAGAAUGUGGACUGGACAAGGUACGAGCAUCCUCUUCUGGUAGAGGGUAGAGACAAGAGUGAGUGGGUUCUCCCUAUAACUGUUCAUGCACCUCCUUCUGGUACUCUAGGAGCCCAUACUCGAAAUGAGAAGCAUUUCUCUUUGGAACCUUUGUGGAUUCACACUUGAAGGUACAAGACUCAUUUGUUAUUUAGGUAUCAGGGAAACAUUAUGCUCUUCAGUCUUCACAGAAUGGGUGUUUAAUAUGGGUUUAGGAGCAGAUUGUAAAGCAAAACAAGUGGAAUCACAUGCCAAGAGGAGCUGGCUUAGCUUCAUUGCCAUGCAAGGGUAAUCUUUUGCCUUAUUACUUUUGAAGAGAAUCAUGUAAAGAAGAUGUGCAAAUUGCAGAUGAAAAUAGGGACGUCUCUCAUAUGGGGUCUUAGAGAAGAGCCAAGCUUAAAUUUUUGUCAUUUAAAAUUUGGGAGUACAUCGGCCUAACCACAUAUGGAUUUUGAGUACUUGAGCUACAUAAGACGACUGGUAAGAUUUGCAGAAGAAAUGUAAUCAGUAAAAUUGAGAAUCACUAAAUGAAUUAGUCAUAUUAUUUGCAUUACAAGUUAUAAAUGGACAGUUUUUAUUAGAGGACUAAGUUAAAUUCAGGUGCUGCCUUGUUUGUCAAUGGAUGGGAUUGGAUCUGGGGUUUGUGCCCAUUCCUUUUUUCCUUGUUUAUAGUUUCUUGAACUCAUUUGAACAUCUCACCAUGUUAUUAGCAUCUGGAUAUCAAGUUCUUAUAUGAUCUUGUUUUGGUGCAAAAAUCGUUUGGUGCAUUUUUCAAGU